AUCGCUUCUCGGCCUUUUGGCUAAGAUCAAGUGUAGUAUCUGUUCUUAUCAGUUUAAUAUCUGAUACGCCCCCGAUUCGGGGGGCAACGUAUUAAACCCAUUUUUAGAACAGGGAGCUGAAUAAGGGGCUCGCUCCGUUCGCUCCACGCAUCGACCCGGUAUUGCAGCGCCUCCGGGAACGGUGCCCCCUUU